GCUUUUCAGCAUUCACAUUCAGGAGCUGUCCCUAACAUUCUCUAAUGUCUUAAAAGCAAGAAUGUUUUCUUGUCAUUUUGGCCUAUUCUACAACAGUUUUGUUUUUUUUUUUUUACCAUUUUUGUGGUCAUUACCAAUAAGUAAAUUCAUGUAUCCAAGCAGAUGAACCUCUCUUCAAAUGCUGAAUGCUAUCACUAAAGUGUCGCUUUUAAAAUCAGGCCUGAGUUCGUGACCAUGCUUUGAAGAGUCCUGCCCAAUCUCAGCAUCGUGCUACUUAUUUUUCUGGCUUUAGAGAAGUCCAUCUCCAAAAUACCUUGUCCUUUGCAAAUGGAAGAAGGAUGUUUUAAAAACACAAAAGAAACUUACCUGCACCACAGAGCGCAAAGCGUCGCCUUGGGGAGGCCGCCUUGGCGACGAGACUGAACCCAUUCCCAGAGAGACGGAAUGAAGGCAAUCGGAUGUGAUGCUUUCCGCGAGAGAGCCACGUGGAUUCUAACUGCACUGCCUCCUCGCAGGAUGCCCCAGGACAGUGGUCUUUGUGCUGGUGUGGAAGUUUUAAUUACACAAGAACUCUAAAACUGAGCUAUAUUCUCAGAGACGUAUUUGUUCCUUAAUAAACUUUUAGCUCUUAAAGCCC
rnacentral:lncRNA from 1 species